rnacentral:rRNA from 1 species
UACGUAGGGGGCAAGCGUUAUCCGGAUUUACUGGGUGUAAAGGGGGCGCAGACGGCAGCGCAAGCCAGGAGCGAAAGCCCGGGGCCCAACCCCGGGACUGCUCUUGGAACUGCGCGGCUGGAGUGCAGGAGGGGCAGGCGGAAUUCCUGGUGUAGCGGUGAAAUGCGUAGAUAUCAGGAGGAACACCGGUGGCGAAGGCGGCCUGCUGGACUGCGACUGACGUUGAGGCCCGAAAGCGUGGGGAGCAAACAGG